rnacentral:rRNA from 1 species
AUUGAACGCUGGCGGAAUGCUUUACACAUGCAAGUCGAGCGGCAGCGCGGGGCAACCUGGCGGCGAGCGGCGAACGGGUGAGUAAUGCAUCGGAACAUGUCCAUUCGUGGGGGAUAGCCCGGCGAAAGCCGGAUUAAUACCGCAUACGCCCUGAGGGGGAAAGUGGGGGACCGCAAGGCCUCACGCGAAUGGGUUGGCCGAUGUCCGAUUAGCUAGUUGGUGGGGUAAAGGCUUACCAAGGCGAUGAUCGGUAGCUGGUCUGAGAGGAUG